AGCUGCUGCAGCUGGAGGAACCGCACGGAAAUCUAGCUACCUGGCCAAUUUGUCGUUUGAUCUCCUAGUAACUCGCUCUUCUUGCUCUGGUGGAGGUCAAGCAGUUCUAGUUGUUUUUUAAAUUUCCUUUUCUUCAGGGUGUGCAGCAGUGCGGGCGAUAGACGAAUUAGGAGGCAAACGUAUCGAUCCUCUUUUAGUUAUCACAAGGCGAAGACCUUGUGUUGAACAGACUGACAGAGAAGGAAAAGGAAAGGAAUCUCUGUGAAUCGUUUGGUCGACAACCGGCAUAACCCAGGGUGUGGUCGCAUAUGAUCGUUGCUGAUCUGCACAUUGGCGUUAGAAGAGAGAGGAAUGGGCAGGGCAGUGAUUUUUUCAACAGAAAGGCGAGGACUCUUGUUUUGUUUGCAACUUGUUGUUCUUGUACGAAUGAUCACCUCCAACAGUGGAGAAGGUGAGCAUUUAACAAGAGCCUAUAGGAGAUUCAGCAACAAUCGACUGCUGGUCGCUGUUGAACAAAUGAAAAAAACAAGUUCUCCUUGAAUAAGUUCGCUUUCAUUCCCAACUAUACACAGCUCCUAUUAUACAAAAACACGAAAUCUCCAGCUCUUCACGACGGAUUGCCUUUUUUUUCCUUUCCUAGUCUUAUUCUUCCCUAUUUACCAAAAAGCAAUGAGGAAGUGGCGCAACGCUCGCUGUCCUUCGAAUCUAUAACUGCCUUUCCACUUAAAGCUCGAAAUAUUUUUUUUGUUGUUGUUUGUUUCUUCUUCUUGGCCCUUCUCUUUUUGUCCCGGCGCUUAAUUUUUUUCUUUUGCCGAGUUGAUUGAUGUUGCUGACGGACUUCGAGUUGGCACGAACAUUCCGUUCGUCCUCCAAUGAUAAGCGGUACUACUCUUAAACUCUGAGUGACUUUUUUCGAGUUCGUUGGUCGAGAACCGCCGGUUUCUCCUCAUUGCUGGUGAGAAAUGUCGUCGUUGCGUCCCAUCCCGGCGAUACAAGGAUCGAGAUAAGCAUUUAUUAGAAGAAAACCCCGUAAAAUGACAUAGCCCGGGAUAUAUACAGCGAAGAGAGGAGAAAGAAAAAAUAAAAAAUGAGGAAGAAAGAGAAACGGUGUCGACACGAAAUCAUCAUCAUCACGGAUGAAUUCGCUCUCUCUAUAAAGCGAACUUUUUUUUUGUGUCCACCUCGCAAGUCUACUCAUCCGAUUAAUCUAUUACUGCACUCACGUUGUCGCCUUCUGGACGUAUAACGAAGCGUUAUUAGACGAUACCCUACACUACUAAGCGAAGAGUAAAAUGUAGGACUCGCACAUUAUGUGUGCUGCGUGUGGGUCACCUCUAUUUUUUCUGGGGAAUUUUAUUUCUCGAAAAUUGUUUCCCCCGCUUUACCUAUAUACAGCCGCAUAAAUAUAUCCCGUACCAUUGGACACAUAUGCCUUGUAGCUAUUUCAUGCAUGGAUUAGAAUGUUGAGUGCAUAUUUCCGGAUCGGGCCACACAGCAGCUACGCAACAAACGCACAUUCAAGGAUUUUUGUAAAUUCUUAGAUUCGAAUGGAGGUGGUAUAGGCGAUCGAUCAGUAAGAUUUACAGAUGGCAUUUUUUCUAACUUAAUUAGCUCGCUAUUGAGAUCUUCGAUAAACGCACUGAAAGGUUUUAUUUCACUCUGCUAAAAUAGAAAGUGUGGUCGCGUUCCUGUCGUAUAGUUGAGACUAAAGAUACAGCGAAGAUAGUACAAGAUUUUUACCGAUGUGGACCAGAAUGUUAUUUAUUUCUUCUCGACACUUUGGAAAUGUCACCUCCAUUUUAUUGGCAGGAGAUUGGCCGAGCCGAUAGCGAAAAGUGAAUGUCUUUUUGGGGUUGAAAUCGUGUGCUGUUGCUUAAUCGUGCCCCUUUUUAUAUUUCCAGUUGAUUCAAAUUGCAAAACGAAUUUUUGCCUAGAACUAAAAUUCAUGGACAUUUUUGCUGCGCAGCCAAUCGAAUGUUGCAUUUACAUUUGUUAAAUGCUUUUUCUUUUUCAGCGGUCGUCAGGUGGUCAGGUAGUCGCGGGGGGAAUCCAGCUCCUGGUUUCUUUCAUUUAUCCUCUUAACGUUAUUAUUCCUACUUUUUGCGAUUGCCUUAUAAUUUCCUUACAAAAAAUUAACGCUAUGUACUGCGGCCCGCUUUCCACAAUAGUUUCGGUCGCAAUGGAGACACUGUUGAAGUCAUUUCAAGAAAAUACCCCUUCCUACCCGCAACAAAUGGAGCGUGAAACAUUGUCGGGACUAAACGAGGUCGCCACCGCCAUCGAUCGCUUCCGUUUUCGGUGCGGCGAUGAACCAAUCACCUAAAUUUUUUUAUAUUUUUACUUGUCGAGGGAAGUAUAAAAAAAAAAAAAACAACAAAAAUUCCGAUGAGACGUCACCGCCGUGCGUUUCGUCUCAUUGUUCAAUUCCGCUCGGUAGGCCGGCAGCACGGGGGGCUGGUUGCUGGCUUGCUGCACACUGCGUUCCAUCCGUUCCGUCAGGGCCUGUUAUCUCCAAUGAAGCGAAUAUGAAGCUGCUUCAAACUUUCUCGUUUGACACGGUCCCGCAACAGAAACUGUGUACUACCAACGCCAACAAGAGAAGAAAGAGUUAGAACGAUGCACAGACUCGGUUUGAAAACAAGAAAAAAAAAGAACCAGCGAACGAUUGCGGCCAUUAAUUGUAACCACGCAUUAAAAGAUGAACGUUAUCUGUCUGCUCCGUGUAGGAGUGACGUGUGUUUUGCUGCGUGUUUUGAAAAGUUCGGGAUUGAAAACCAAAAGGGCAUCAAGACAUCAGCAAGCGAGAGAAGUGAAAGGCGACAAAAGAGAAAGAGGACACACCAGCAAUUCGUCGCUGCGCUGCUGAUUCAUCAAGCGAGAUGUUUUGAUUUGUGGCAUCGCGGGAUAUUCAAAGCGAGAGAUAGCAGGCUACGCUGCUCAUAAUCGUGGGCAUGCACACACACACAAGGAGAGUUGGCAGGGCCGUCGAGGUCCGCGAGAAAGUUGAUGCGGCGGUCGUCCUCCCUCAACAAACAAACGAAAAGACACGACACAGCCCGGCGACAUCAAUAUACCCGCAAGAAACAAAAAGAAACCUGUUUAACAAAAUUGCCAAUCUGCUUAAUUACAGGAACUGGCACUGCCAGGUCUCCCGUAGAGAUAUAAUACAAA